rnacentral:rRNA from 1 species
UACAGAGGGUGCGAGCGUUGUCCGGAAUCACUGGGCGUAAAGGGCGCGUAGGUGGCGACCCAAGUCGAUGGUGAAAGCUCGUCGCUCAACGACGAGUCGGCCACCGAUACUGGGUUGCUCGAGCACUGUAGAGGCAGAUGGAAUUCCGGGUGUAGCGGUGGAAUGCGUAGAGAUCCGGAAGAACACCGGUGGCGAAGGCGGUCCGCUGGGCAGGAAGGCUCGCAAGAGCCGGCUGACGCUGAGGCGCGACAGCGUGGGGAGCAAACAGG